rnacentral:rRNA from 1 species
GUGGCUUAAUUUGACUCAACGCGGGAAAUCUUACCGGGUCCGGACACACUGAGGAUUGACAGGCAAUAUCUAAAUCGUUUAUAAUUCCUAUUAUAAUACGUAUUUAGUGUUAAAUAUGCUAGUCCUUUCAUGAUUAUGUGAUAGGUGGUGCAUGGCCGUUCUUAGUUCGUGGAGUGAUCUGUCUGCUUAAUUGCGUUUCACUAAGGGCCCAUAAAUUCAAGGUAUGUUAGCUAUCGUUUCUCAAUUGACCCCUUGUCUUCGAUAAGCGCGUGUCUUUUAGAGUUUAAACAUUGCGCAUGCUGUUGGGUCCUGAAAGCAACGAACGUGACCGCAACGUCUUAUUGCCUUUAUCUUGCUAUAUUUUAAUUUAAUUAAAAAUAGCUAACAGAGGCUAAUUUAAAAUUAGACGGACCGCUGUACUUUUCUUAAACCAGAGGAAGGUUGCGGCAAUAACAGGUCUGUGAUGCCCUUAUAUGUUCCGGGCUGCACACGUGCUACAAUGAUCAGUACAAGUGAGCAUCUCAAUAUUAUCACCCGUAUUAAAGCGCCUUAGUUGCGAUUAUUGGCCCAUUAUUGGGUCUUUUAAUUGAAUUUCUAAUGCGCGCGGUAAA